GGGGCGGUAGCUCAGCAGGUCAGAGCAGGGGACUCAUAAUCCCUUGGUCGCGGGUUCGAGCCCCGCCCGCCCCACCA
rnacentral:tRNA from 1 species